CUUAUGUCUUAAAUUAAAGAAUGGUGUGGAUGAGAGAGUACACAGGGAUAGCCGAUAUUCUAACUGACAUUAAUAGAAAAAUGGAGCUGGGCAGGCCAUGUUUUGCGUAAGGUA
rnacentral:lncRNA from 1 species